rnacentral:rRNA from 1 species
UACGGGAGUGGCAAGCGUUAUCCGGAAUUAUUGGGCGUAAAGAGUAUGUAGGCGGCUGGAUAAGUCAAGCGUGUAAGCCCAUGGCUCAACCGUGGAAUUGCGUUUGAAACUAUUUAGCUUGAGUACAGGAGAGGAAGGCGGAAUUCCCAGUGUAGCGGUGAAAUGCAUUGAUAUUGGGAAGAACACCGGUGGCGAAGGCGGCCUUCUGGUCUGUUACUGACGCUGAGAUACGAAAGCCAGGGGAGCAAAGGGG